GUCCAACCAUUCUGCCCGGAUAACCUGCCAAUCUUGCGUCCUUAUCUUCCAUUUCUGGGAAGAUGCAAUCAUUUCUCACCAGUGAGAUCUUUCUAAAGCUGAAACAUAACAUCAUCAUAAGGGUUUUAUCACACCACAACUGAAAUUACCUGAACACACAUGGAUUCUACCAAGUUUCUACCUAGUUUAACAAUUUCAACCUUCACAGACCUCU